AUUAGCAUUCGUACGUGACCUGCGGAAGGAUCAUUA
rnacentral:rRNA from 1 species